CCAAAUCCUCUAGUGGCUGUCUCAUUGACAGCCACUAGAGGCGCUUUGGUGCUUCUCACUGUGAUUUUUACAGUGAGAGCACGCAAGCAUCCAUAGGAAAGCAUUGUAAAUGCUUUCCUAUGCGACGGGCUGAAUGCGCGCGCAGCUCUUGCCGCGCGUGCGCAUUCAGCCCAGAAGGAGGAACGGAGGAGGAGAGAAGGAG